AUUGAACGCUGGCGGCAUGCUUUACACAUGCAAGUCGAACGGUAACAGCACUUCGGUGGCUGACGAGUGGCGAACGGGUGAGUAAUACAUCGGAACGUGCCUAGUAGUGGGGGAUAACUACUCGAAAGAGUAGCUAAUACCGCAUGAGAUCUAAGGAUGAAAGCAGGGGACCUUCGGGCCUUGCGCUACUAGAGCGGCUGAUGGCAGAUUAGGUAGUUGGUGGGAUAAAAGCUUACCAAGCCGACUAUCUGUAGCUGGUCUGAGAGGACGACCAGCCACACUGGGACUGAGACACGGCCCAGACUCCUACGGUAGGCAGCAGUGGGGAAUUUUGGACAAUGGGCGCAAGCCUGAUCCAGCAAUGCCGCGUGCAGGAUGAAGGCCUUCGGGUUGGAAACUGCUUUUGUACGGAACGAAAAGCCCUCUUCUAAUACAGGAGGGUCAUGACGGUACCGAAAGAAUAAGCACCGGCUAACUACGUG
rnacentral:rRNA from 1 species